AGUAAGCUUUAGUGGAAAGCUGUUAUUUGUGUGUUCAUAGUGUACUGUCUUUAGCAUAUGCUUAACGUGGAGGAAAUGCAUCAGUACUGUUUGUGUUUUGUGUUUCCUCUAUGCCUAGGUUUUUGUUUAGAUCUAAAACCUGGUAAAAAUUUCAGUAGCCUUCAAUAGGCGUAACACUGUUUCUUAAACAUUUUAAGUCAUUUAAAAGUAACUUCAGUUUAUACAUCGUCUAAAUUAUAUUCAGAGUUUAGAAUUGCAAAGGAUCUUAUAUAUCAUGAGCUCCUAUCUCCAUCCAAGUGAGAUGUUCCUUUAAUAGUCUGUCUAAUAGAUGACUAACUCCAGCUUAAAUAUAUUCAGUGAAAGAGCAUACUACCUCAUAAGCAUGAGCCACUGUGCCUGGCCUCUUAAUUUGAAUUCAAGCAUGCCUAUCACUUCGGUAAAGUUAUAGAAAGCAAAUUCUCUCUUAUAUGUGAGAACUCUUUAAGUAUGUGGAGACUACUACUACAUUCUACAUAGAAAAUGACCUCCAGACUCCUUAUCUUAUCAUCCAAGAAUGUUAGGAUUUGUUAAAUCUUCCAAAGGUGACACUCAGAAAUGAAUGCUUUAGAUAUAAUGUGGAACUCUAUACAUUUAGUUAUUUUUGAUAAUCUGGAAGCUUAUUUAUAAUCAUCUUGGUUGAAGGCAGUAAUUGAACACUAAUAUAUAUGGCUUGUUAACUUCUUUAUCAGCAAUAUCAGAAUUUUAGAAUAAAUAUUUGUUCAAAUAAAAGAACUAAAUCUUUUUCAGAUAUGUAAAAAUAUGUUUGACAGACUAACUUCCAAAUUGAUUUUUAUUCUAUAUGUUGAAAAACAUAAAAAUAAUCUCCAGUAGGUUGAACAUAAUUAGUUCUGUGUUUACAGCCAAUAUCCCAAUAUAUCCUCAAAAUAUGUAUAACUGAAGCCGAGCACAGUGGCUCAUGCCUGUAAUCCCAGAACUUUGGGAGGAUCAGUUGAAUCCAGGAAUCUGAGACCAGCUUGGGUAACACAGGGAGACCCUGUCUCUACAAAAAAUUUAAAAAUUAGCCAGGCGUGGUGGUACCUCUUUCUGGUCCCAGCCACUCAGGAGGUUGAGGUGGGAAGAUGGCUUGAGCCUGGGAGAUCAAGACCACAGUGAGCCAUGAUGGCACCACAGCACUCCAGCAUAAGACUCUGUCUCAAGAAAAGUACAUAUAACUGAGAUUGGGCCCUUAAAAAAAAUUAUUCAUCUCUAAUAAUUUUUUGAAUAGUUGAACCUAAGGGAGUAAAUUUCAUGACAGGUAUUUAACUGUGGCAAAUGAAGUUUAGUUCCAGUGAUUUAUAUUUAAAUUUUUUUUUUUGAGACGGAGUUUUGCUCUUGUUGCCCAGGCUGGAGUGCAGUCCACGAUCUUGGCUCACUGCAGCAUCUGCCUCCUGGGUUCAAGCGAUUCUCCUGCCUCAGCCUCCCAAGUAGCUGGGAUUACAGGCAUGCGCCACCAUGCUCAGCUAAUUUUGUAUUUUUAGGAGAGACAGGGUUUCUCCAUGUUGGUCAGGCUGGUCUCAAACUCCCAGCCUCAGGUGAUCCACCUGCCUCGGCCUCCUGCCUCAGCCCCCCAAAGUGCUGGGAUUACAGGAGUGAGCCACUGCGCCCGGCCUAAAUAUUUCUUAUAAAUGUUAUUGAACAUACUAUAUAUUUUUUGUAUUAGUUGUUUUUAAAAUAACUGUUGAGAGUUCAUCGAACCAGAAAUAUAUUUAUUAAUUAAUGUUUAUCAAAUAUUUAACAUUAAUAUAUUUCAGUGUUAAAUACUUGAUAGAUACCCUAAACUGAUUGAGUCCUGGGGGGUAUAUAAAGAUGUGGUCUUCUGCUUCAAGGAGUUAAUUUACAGUGUUAGAGAUAAGAUGGAAAAGGUAGUGUGGGAGAAAUGUCGUAAGAGAAAUUCAAAUAGUAUUAUAGGACUUUAGAGAUUUUGUACUAAGAAGAUCAGGAAUGAUUUAAUGGAUAAGGUGAAAUAUGAUCUGGUCCAUGAAGUGUCAGGAAAGCUUUCCUUUUAUGGAUGUUAUGAUCUGAGCCUUGAAAUAAAUGAUAUCUAGGGGCAGCUUAGGAUCUCGUAAGAUUGAGCUUGCCCUUGUACGUUUAUUGCUUACAUGUGACAGGGGCUAAAAUAGAACAGCUGCCACUGUUACUGAAUGUACAGAGAUAGACGAUUGUCUUAAACUCUGAUUGGCCAGGAAAAAGUUCAGAUUUCCACGUUGUAGUGUCAAUGAGGAUGUUAGCUUGAGGUAAGAGAAAUAAGUAGGACAGAGGAGCUCUUUGCAGAUCCACAGUAUGAUUUCUGAUGGCUGAACAAGUCAAUGAAUGAAAUCUUUAACUUAAUGUGUGAAAAAUAAUUUAGGCACUCAGUAAAUACUUGGAGAAACAACCCAAAUGUUCUUCAGUGGUAGAAUGCAUAGAGUUGUUCUUCAGUGGUAGAACGUAUAGAGUUGUUCUUCAGUGGUAGAACGUAUAGAGUUGUUCUUCAGGGGUAGAAUGUAUAGAGUUGUUCUUCAGGGGUAGAAUGUAUCGAGUGUUCCUCAGUGGUAAAAUGUAUAGAGUGUUCCUCAGUGGUAGACUGUGUAGAGUUGUUCUUCAGUGGUAGAAUGCAUAGAGUUGUUCUUCAGGGGUAGAACGUAUAGAGUUGUUCUUCAGUGGUAGAAUAUAUAGAGUUGUUCCUCAGUGGUAGAAUGUAUAGAGUUGUUCUUCAGGGGUAGAAUGUAUAGAGUUGUUCUUCAGGGGUAGAAUGUAUCGAGUGUUCUUCAGUGGUAAAAUGUAUAGAGUUGUUCUUCAGGGGUAGAAUGUAUAGAUUGUUCUUCAGUGGUAGAAUGUAUAGAGUUGUUCCUCAGUGGUAGAAUGUAUCGAGUGUUCCUCAGUGGUAGAAUGUAUAGAGUUGUUCUUCAGGGGUAGAAUGUAUAGAGUUGUUCUUCAGUGGUAGAAUGUAUAGAGUUGUUCUUCAGGGGUAGAACGUAUAGAGUUGUUCUUCAGUGGUAGAAUGUAUAGAGUGUUCCUCAGUGGUAGAAUGUAUCGAGUGUUCCUCAGUGGUGGAAUGUAUAGAGUUGUUCCUCAGUGGUAGAAUGUAUCGAGUGUUCCUCAGUGGUAGAAUGUAUAGAGUUGUUCCUCAGUGGUAGAAUGUAUCGAGUGUUCCUCAGUGGUAGAAUGUAUAGAGUUGUUCUUCAGUGGUGGAAUGUAUAGAGUGUUCUUCAGGGGUAGAAUGUAUCGAGUGUUCCUAAGUGGUAGAAUGUAUAGAGUUGUUCUUCAGUGGUGGAAUGGUAUAGAGUUCUCAAAAUGUCAUCAGGGACCCUCUGGGAUCCCUACGAUAUGGGGGAUCCACAAGAUGAAAACGAAUUUCAUGUUAAUACUAAGGCAUUAAUUGUAUUUUGACUCUUACUCUCUCAGGAACGUACAGUAGCCUUUUCCAGAGUCUACAUGAUGACUGAUAAUUAAAGUAGAUUGAAUGCAAAAGCUGGAUCUUAGUUCAGUGGGCUGUAACAAAGUACCGUAGACUAGGUAGCUUAUAAACAACAGACGUUUAUUUUGCACAGUUUUGGAGAUUAGCAGUUCAAGGUCAGGAUGUGAGUAAGGUCAGGUUCUGGUGAGUGUUCUCUUCCAGGUUGCAGACUUUGGACUUCUUUUGAUAUCCUUGUGUGGCAGAAAGAAGGCUAGAGAGCUCUCCAGUGUCACUUUUGUAAGGACAGUAAUCCUAUUCAUGAUGGCUCCAUCCUCAUGACUUUACCUUCCAAAGCCCUCACCUGUUAAUACCGUCACAUUAAGUGUUAGUAUUUCAACAUGUGAAUUUUGGAGAGAUAGAAACAUUCAGCCCUUAACAAGCAGUUGUGAGAAUCUAGUUGUCUUCUAUUAAGGCAAACACCAAAGAGAUCCAAAAACAAUACCACUCUUCUUACUAAAUAUUUUUAUUUGUUUUGGAAAAUAAAAAUAACUAGGCCAGAUGCGGUGGCUCACGCCUGUAAUCCCAGCACUUUGGGAGGCCAAGAUAGGCAGAUCACAAGGUCAGGAGUUCAAGAGCAGCCUGGCCAAUAUGGUGAAACCUUGUCUCCACUAAAAAUAUUAAAAUUAGCCGGGCAUGGUGGUGGGCACCUGUAGUCCCAGUUACUUGGGAGGCUGAGGCAGGAGAAUCGCUUGAACCUGGGAGGUGGAGAUUGUAGUGAGCCAAGAUCGCGCCACUGCACUCCACUCUGGGUGACAGAGCGAGACUCUGUCUCAAAAAUAAAAAAGGCCAGGCGUGGUGGCUCAUGCCUGUAAUCCCAGCACUUUGGUAGGCCGAGGCAGGCAGAUCACGAGAUAGGGAGAUCGAGACCGUCCUGGCUAACACAGUGAAACCCUGUCUCUACUAAAAAUACAAAAAAUUAGCUGGGCGUGGUGGCAGGCGCCUGUAGUCCCAGCUACUCGGGAGGCUGAGGCAGGAGAAAGGCGUGAACCUGGCAGGCGGAGCUUGCAGUGAGCCAAGAUUGCAGCCACUGCACUCCAGCCUGGGUGACAGAGUGAGACUCCAUCUCCAAAAAAAAAAACAAACAAACAAACAAAAAAAAACAAAAAGCUAAUGGAUACUAGGCUUGAUACCUCAGCGAUGGAAUAAUCUGUACAGCAAACCCUUGUGAUACAUGUUUACCUGUGUAACAAACCUGCACAUCCUGCACGUGUAUCCCGACCUUAAAAUAAAAGUUAAAAUUUCUUUUUCAUUUAAAAAGAGAUGUUUACCCUAUGUGUAAUGAGUUUAUUAUUAUUUUUUAAGUGAAAUGGUUUUUAACUAUCUUAUUAAUAGUUUUUAUUUUGGCCGGGCGUGGUGGCUCACCCCUGUAAUCCCAGCUCUUUGGGAGCCCGAGGUGGGUGGAUCACCUGAAGUCAGGAGUUUGAGACCAGCCUGGCCAACAUGGCAAAACCCUAUCUCCACUAAAAAUACAA